rnacentral:rRNA from 1 species
UACGUAGGUGGCAAGCGUUGUCCGGAAUUAUUGGGCGUAAAGCGCGCGCAGGCGGUCCUUUAAGUCUGAUGUGAAAGCCCACGGCUCAACCGUGGAGGGUCAUUGGAAACUGGGGGACUUGAGUGCAGGAGAGAAGAGUGGAAUUCCACGUGUAGCGGUGAAAUGCGUAGAGAUGUGGAGGAACACCAGUGGCGAAGGCGACUCGGUGGCCUGUAACUGACGCUGAGGCGCGAAAGCGUGGGGAGCAAACAGG